rnacentral:lncRNA from 1 species
AUUUUUGGCACAGUUGUCUGACAGACUUUCAAAGGUCUGUUGAAUGCAUAUUCUGCAUGUGCUUACGAGUUGUGAUAGGAUGAGAAUAGUUGAAAUCCUAUAUCUCUUUCCGUCCAUAUUUUUUCCAUUUUACAGUGAUUUUAUGUUCACAAGAUGAGUUGGCAAUAUGUGAUCUUUGAAUAUGUUGAAUUGACUGGAAUUGGGAGAUGUCUUAUAUAAAGGAAUUAAAGAUUACUGAUGCUUUCUUUGACAAGUUUGAAUCUAGGACUGUGAUUUGGAAGAGAGAUGCGAGAGAAGAGGGUAGUCCCAGUGUAUCAUUGUCUAAUGUAGCAGACGCACAGGAGGUAUGGGGGUGGGACUUGCGAGUGCCUUUUUUAAUUCUUUUUGUGGGGAGUGGGUAGUCAUAUUUGCACUUGCUGUCCAAGAUUUUCCCUGGUUUGUAUUGCACAAGGUAAUGGAGUUUUAUUUUAGGCGUUUACUCUGUGUAUUAUGUCAUCAUUAUGUUUCAGGUGUCAUUUCCAAGUUCUAGCUGUUUUAGACCCGCUUCAUAAUUAGAUUCACAAGCCCUGAAUCCUCAUGUAAGUUGAUUUCCAAAAUUUUUAGUCAUACCAUCACUUUGUAUCUCUAAGAUUUUUACUGUUUUCUUUGCUUUAAUUUCCUUUUAUCUUUUUUUUUGGCAGCUAUUUCUUGUAGUAUUAUCCCUCAAGUUAUUCCUAAUCCUAAGACAUAUAUGCUAUUUUUCCUAAAGAAGCGCAUUUGUAGUUGUUAAGUGAUACAUUACUGCAUUAGGUGUGUUCCCUUCGCAUCCUUCAUAUAUUUCUUAAGGUCCUUUGCCAGUUAGUAGAUAAGGUUGGACUACUUUCAUAUCCUAUAGGUGUCCCAUUUCACAAGAUAUAUGUUCAAUGUAGUGUACAUUUGUAUCAACAUACACGUAAACUAUUUGCUACUACUCAGGCAUCUCAAUGUAGUGGUUGCAGCAACUUAUAAAAGAAUGUUGACUUAUGAUGCAAAAUAAGUAGGAAUGUGCCCCUGCAACCACGUAAACAUUUCGAAGUUUAUAGCACAAGUACCUCUCCUGAAUUUGUAUAUACUGCUUAAUGUCAUUUGCUUUCUGUCUAUUCUCUCUGUCUAGCACAGAGAUUUGAUGGAUUAUGUUGUGGACCACUAUGUUUGACAUCUGUCUACAUGGUGCUAAAGAUAAUAGUAUCAGCUGUUAAGACAAACUGCAGUGCAGCACUAGGAGCUAAUAAGAUUCAGCUAUAUCAAGGCAUCAAACACUGCUAUUUCUGUAGUUUUCGCUGUGCCUUAUCUUCAUGUUUUUCUUUUAGUUUUGUAAAAUAUGAGCUUAUAUAAGCCUGGAUUGCACUUGUGUAUAGUGUGCCAGUGCAUUUUCUUUUGGAGAACAAGGUUAUGCAGCUCAUUGUCUUACCAUGCAUGUGUCUGCUGGACUUUGAUCUGUUUUCACAGUGUAACUUGUAGAACCAAGAUGUGAAACACAUGCACAGGAUUAGACUGUCUUGACACAGGAAACUUGCUUAUAACUCAUCAUUUUUCUUGAAGGUAGAAAGUUUUUGCGCUACCCAACUUAAACCAGAUCGUGGUGUUGGAAGAAAUUCUUGAAGUUGAGUUUAGGCCGAUAACUAGAAGCUCUAGAAAUUGAUCAUUAUUAAUGGGCAGCCGUGGAAAUGUUUGAUGGCCUCCUUUAGGAUUGCUUAGAGAGAAAAUCUCUUCUCAGUUGCUGUUCCUUUUGAGUUCUAAGACUGGAAAAAUGUCCGUUAUCAUUAGAGAUGAAAUGUGCGAAUGGCCAAGUGGGAGAAGAAGGGUACAUAAUUGUUACAAUUAAUUGAAGCUACCACCUCUUAUUUUUUUUACCUCUUCCUGGUUCAAAUGAUUCUGUUACAUGGACUUUGGACCCCACAGGUAUCUACUCUGCUAAUUUAACUAUAAAGCACAUAGUUGUUCCUGGUUCUUGCUUCUAAAGUUUCUUGGUAUCAUGUAGUGCGAGGCAGAAAACACAAUACUAGUGGUUCUCCUUUAUAUUGUGGUUUGCUUGCGGGGAAAGAUUGACCACCAAGGAUAGACUGCAUUCAGGGGUUAUGGAGAUUAAUCCAAUCUGUAUGUGUGCAUGAGCAAGUAGGGAACUAUAAAUGAUCUGUUUUUCCUGUGUCCCUAUUCAGCACAAAUUUGGGAAGCUGUGCAAAGGAAAUGCUUGUUGUUUAGGCAGGCUGGUGAUUGGGAUAUUAAAUUUGGAUGGAUGAUCAAACAUGCUGCUCAGAAGUCUUUUUGGUAGUCUUCAUCGACUAGCUUUUGCUGCAACAGUAUAUCACCUAUGUGUAGGGGAACAACCAAAUAUUGGUCAUGGUGCUUAAGGACAUGCAUGGAUCAUAGCAGGUUGAAAGAAUAUGUUGAAAAGGAGCAGAAUAUAUUCAGCUUCAAACGGAAGUGAAUUUUCUUACUUUGUACUUUCCAGAGUUAAGUUUCCCUGAGUUGAGUGAGUGAGCUGAUUUUUUUGAUAUUCAAUAUACCAGUAAAGUUAUAUAGACCUGUACAUAGCUUAGCUGGUAUUGGCUUUUUUUUUUUUUUUUUUUAAAGUAUAGGUUAAAAUGUAAAAUUACAGUUAUUUGACUGCCAUACCUGCUGCAAUUGAUCGAGUAUGUAUGUUCCUUGUGCAAGUUUCUGAAGAUCAGUGAUACGAUAAUAAGACAUGCAGAAGUAAAUAUGUGUAGAUCUUUAGGGCAUACAGAAGUAAACAGGCAUACAUACUGGACUGUUUACUGGAUUAAUUCUUACAAUAUCUGUACCUAAAUCUGCCCUUUUUAGGGUAUGUUAUUAUGUCCAAAUUUUCAUGUGCUAAGGUCCUUGAAGGGCUUAUAUUCUUCUUUCUUGUCACUGGUUUUCUCACAUAUUGCUUAUUUGUUACUAUAGUGAUGCUAGCCCUGUGGUUUCUCCUUGAAGGGUCUGCUGUUUUCAAUUAUACGAUGUUUCAGUUAUGUGACUGAUAUUGCUCUGUCUUCAUACCUCUCGUAAAACAUGUCCAAAUUGAACCCGAGCGUGCAACAUAUAUCACUAGGAAUAGAAGAAGUUUGUCCAAGAAUUUGGGAAACAUGUCCAAUUUCUUAAGAUAGAUUCAGUGCCUCAAUUGUACAAAGCCCAUUCUACAAGAAAAUUUUUAUGCAAGAAAUUUGCAAACAAACAGGAAGCAUAUAUGAUAAUAAAGCUACAAAGCAAACCAAAUUAGAACUUUAGAAGAUCAGUCUCUUCUUCAUCGUCUUUCACAACUCUAAUCUUCAGGUGCUCGGGCUUAAUAUAAGCUUUUCGUUCAAAUAAGCUUCCAGAACCUUGACAAAAAUAAGAAGAACACCCUGUAAUGCUUCAAAAUGGGAUUAAUAUCCAUACAAGUAGUGGUAUAGGCCACAAAGAAGGCUAUGGUGCUGUACUUGUUCCAAUACCUGAAAUUCAGAGAUGCUGAAAAAUGAAUCUGUAGACAAAGAUAGACAGGAAAACUCAACAAGACAAAUAUUAGCAUCUCUAAAAUGGCAUUUGCGUUCUUCUUAACGAUGGUGUCUCUGGUAGACUGUUACUCCAGUGUUUGAAAAAAUGUGCAGUUUUUUUGUUCUUUUGUUUGGUAAAGAAAAAUUUGGGUGGAUUAGGCUCUGAUCACUAUCAUGGGUCAAGACAUGUUCUUGGAACCAUAGGUCGCUUAUAAGAGUUUUUACAAAUCGUCCACCAACCCAGUUGUUACAUCGGCAGUGGAAUUCGAACGCACAGUUUUUGCGAAGAAGUAACCCAUUUUUACAAAUUAAACUGACUUGUGAUGGUGAAAAAAUGUGCAAUGAUCAUGCCUGCUGUGGCACAUUUCAAAACCUGCAAGGAAGAGGAGUGGAUGAAUAGUUACUAACUUGUAUGAACACCAAAGCAUUGUUCCACAGGAAAAACAUCAUUCCGUGACUAUGUGGAUCAGUUAACCUCCUUUCUAAAGAUGAAGGGACAAAGAAAUUGACAGCACUUCUUGUUGGGUGUCUAGAUGGCCUAACAAAAGAGUUGUCUAUCAUUUACUCCUGUAAUAUAACUACCAUCAAGGCAAGAUAUUGUCUAACAGAACAGGAACUUGUAUAUUUUGUUGAGCGAAAAACGCCAAUCUUGUCUGAGAAAGGUUUCAUAAGAUCACAGAAAUUAGUGAGAUAGAAGAAUAGAAGCAUUCUUUAUCUUAAGCAUGCAGAUAACUAGCUUGUAACGCAUAUAAACCAAUCAAUCCUAUGAAAGACAUUUUUUAGCUUGGCGCCUUUCAUGUGUCGAUAAGCAUAAUGAAUUUACGCAAGGCAGAGUUAAUUUGGAGUCGAGAUAAUUUAGACCUUAACGUCUACCUUUCUAUAAUCCAAGACCUUAUUUAGGAGGAGCAACGAGUGUUGGCUCCUUUUUUUUCAUUUUAAUUUAUUGAGAUUCAUUGUAUUGUACCUUACUUGCAAUAGAGUAUGUCAAGAGUGAAUUUUUUUUCUCGUCCCACAAAUUAUUAAAUUAGUAUUAAUAACUAGUCAAUAUUUAUUUUGGAAAAAUUUUCUCCCAAUUUCUUUUGUAUCUCAUAUGUAGUAAGUGUUUUAAAAUGCUUAAAUAAAACAACCAUCCCAACAGUUGUCAACCUAGACAAGUAAAAAAAAAAAAAAAAAUUGCCGACAAAAAGAAUGCAACGGAUCUUCUAUCUUACUCUCUAUAUCACUUUCCGUCUCACUUUUUAGGGAAAAUCAUUCAAAACAUCCCUCACAUUUUGUAAAAUGACUUUUUUCGUCUCUCACAUUUAAAAGUGUAAUUUUAUGUCUCUUACAUAUUCACAUCGGUCAAAUUUAGUCCCUAACUAGGUUUCCGAUCAUUUUUUGGCCGGAAUCCAUCACGUGCAAGGCACGUGAUCAUUUUUUAAGGGUAAAUUGGUCAAAUUAUAUUUUACAUAAUCUAAUCUACAGUCCUCCACAUUUUAUAAAAUAAAUUUUUUCGUCCCUCACAUUUUAUAAAAUGAUUUUUUCAUCACUCACAUUUCACAAAAUGAAUUUCUCCAUCCCUCACAUUUCAAAAAAUGAAUAUUUCCAUCCCUCACUAAUUAUGUGUGUGAGGGAAAUCCUAAAAAAAAAAAAUGUGUUUGAAUACAUUUUGUUUAAACACAUGUAUAUGUCUAUUUGAUUUUGCUUAAUAAUACGAAUAGCAUAAAUAUAUGUACGUUUCUAUUUGAUUUCACUUAACAAUAUGAAUACCAUAUAUUAUACGUGAUCAUUUGAUUUCAUCUGGUAUUAGCUAGUAAAAAAUCUUGCAUUUAUUGUCAAGUUGGUCAAUAAAGCUAUUUUUGGUCAAAAUAUAAUAAGAAUAUGCAAAUUAAGAUUCUAUUGGAAAAUAUUAGUCAUAAUCAUACAAAAAGAAAAGAUAGCCCACAAGUUGGGCCUAAUUACAUACAUGUGUUUAUACUAUUAUUAUUAAGCAAAAUCAAAUAGACACAUACAUGUGUUUAAAAAAAAAAUGUAUUCACACACAUAAUUAGUGAGAAAUGAAAAAUUCAUUUUUUGAAAUGUGAGGGAUGGAGAAAUUCAUUUUGUGAAAUGUGAGGGAUGAAAAAAAUUAUUUUAUAAAAUGUGAGGGACGAAAAAAUUUAUUCUAUAAAAUAUGGAAGAUUAUAGAUCAGAUUAUGUAAAAUAUAAUUUGACAAAUUCACCCUUCAUAGAUCAGAUUAUGUAAAAUAUAAUUUGACAAAUUCACCCUUCAAAAAUGAUCACGUGCCUUGCACAUGAUGGAAACCCGCCAAAAAAUGAUCGAAAACCUAGUUAGGGACUAAAUUUGACCGAUGUGAAUAUGUAAGGGAAAUAAAAUUACACUUUUAAAAGUGAGGGACGAAAAAAGUUAUUUUAUAAAAUGUGAUGGACAUUUUGGACGAUUUUUCCCACUUUUUAUUGUAUUGUUAUUUUUUCUCAUAAACAUUAUAUUUUAGAUCUAAUAAUUAUUAACUGGAUAAUACACAAAAUUUAACAAACUCAAAAAAUCAAAAUGCAUAAAAAAUGAGAUUUUUUAUGAAUUUUAUAAUUUUCUAUUAUAUAUUAUUUUUUGAGAUUGUUGUAUUUAUUUUUUAUUUAGUUAAUAGUUAUUAGAUCUCAAGAAAAACAAAAAAGAUUCAAUGAGGGAUGAAAAAAUUCAUUUUGUAAAAUGCGAUGAAUGAAAAAAUUUAUUUUGUGAAAUGUGAAGGAUGAAAAAAUUCAUUUUGUGAAAUGUAAGGGACCAUAAAUCGGAUUCUUAGAAAUAUGAUUUGACAAUUUUGCCUCUGAAAAAUGAUCACUUGCAAUGUACGUGGUGGAUUCCUGUUAAAAAUUAGUUGAAAAUUUAAAUAAAGACCAAAUUUGACCAAUAUAAAUUUAUAAGGGACGUAAAAUUAUAUUUUUAAAAGUGAGGAAUGAAAAAAAUUAUUUUAUAAAAUGUGAAGGACGUUUCGAAUUUUUUUUCUAAAAAAAAAAAUAACGUAUAGAUUUAAAAUAAAAAUUAUUAAAAAUUUAAGUUAAUAUUAAAAAUUUAGAAUUAAAAUCAAAUUUUAUUUUAUAAGGAACGUAAACAUGUUAAAAUGAAAAAUUUAUUUGACAAGUAUGAGCGACGUUUUGAGUACUUUCCUUCUACAUUUUUGCUUCGGCGAAAGAAAUCGAGAAAAAAAAGCAAAGAAGAGAGAAAACCCUUGAUGUCCAAUGGCUGGCGGUCCUCGGGCGACGAAGGAGUCAUCCCGAUCAUUGGAGGAGAAGGAGCCGGUGUCAAAUUCGUCGGAGGAAGAGGAAGUGGAGCGAGGAGUUAAUGUUAAUGACCAAGUUGGGGAAGAAGACGCGGAGGAGCUCGAAGCCGUUGAGAGAACUGCCGACUAUUCCGACGAAGAAGAAAAUAAUGCUGCCGCUAACCACGGUGGUGGUGAGCUGGACGACGAAGAGGAGGUAGUUGAAUGGUUAAUUUGUCUCUUGGUUAUUUUGUUAAUUUUUAUUUUUGGUUAAUUGAUUGUUCAUUAGUACAGCUGUAGAGUUUGCUUUGUGGAGUAUGUGUGUCUUGGUUGGAGUUUGUUUUACCAAUUUUUGUUUUGAUUUUACGGUUUACUGCUGGUUGCCUCUGGUUGGUUGGAUAUUUUAUUCCUUUGGCUUUUAGUUUGGAUUUUGUGUUACUUUUAUUUAUUUAUUUAUUCUUUUUUUUUCUUGUGCAGAUUGUUGUCUGGAAAGUUUGAUCUGCUUGGGGAGUGUUUGCUGCAUUUUGGUGCAUUUUCUUUAUAUAUGUGAUGCAAUGGGUUUUUUAGGAGAUAUAUAGAUAGUUGAAGUUUAUUAGGAGUUUUAUGGCUGUUUGGUUGCUGUGUUUACUUCCAGAAAGUGAAAUGAAUGGGAAAUUUGAGGUCUUUUGAGCUACAUCCUGCAGAGCUGUUUAUGUGUUUAUUUUAUUUUAUUUUUCUGAAUUAAGAAAUUUUUACUGCAGAAUUUGCCCUAAUUUUAGUGCUUAUGGAUCUUUAUUUUUUAAUAUUGUCCAGUUUCAAACAAGUAAAAGAUUCUCUCCUUCUUUUCUUUCUUUUUUUUUUUUGUGUUUGAGAGAUUAUUUGAAUGGUUUUUGUUUGAUAAAUUUUACUAUUGAUAUCUUGUCUUUCUUUUUUAUUCUUUUGUUAUUGUUUUGUGCAGAGGAUGGCUUGCAAAUGGGGGUUAGUAGUGGCAAUUUUGAUAUCUUUAUGUGCAAUUUCAACUGGAAGAGGUAAUUAAUUUACGCAGUCAAGUUGAUGCUGUGAAAUUUUAUUUAGGUAAUUUGGCUGUUAACUAACUGUUGGAAGAAUUUGAAGUUAUAGGUUGCAUAGUUUAGGUCAUGGUUUAGGUUGAAUUAUGCUUUGAGUUAGAAGAAAAUGUGAACGUGAUUUCUUGAAGUUGUGCUUCUUUAAAUGGGCUAGGGAUUUUCCUCUAGAGAAUCUAGAAAUUUAACAAGAAUGUUGAAGCAUGAAGUUCUUCAAGGAGAUAUCUUUGCGCAUAGUAAUGUACUGCCAUUGUCAUGAGAGAGUGUGAAUUUUAAUUCAUUCCUUUCGUUCCAGGUGAAAAUUUGUGUCUUGAGUGCCAUGAGGGUGGUUUAGAUGAGACUAAGGUAGGUCUUGGUUUCAAUAAUGCUUUUCACUGUGUGUGCUUGAGUGAAGGGAACUGGAUAUACAAGUGUAAUAAGAAUGCCAUAAGCACUUAAUAUUUUACAAGUGUAUAUUUCCUGAAAUAAUUUUGGAAAAGACUAAGCUAAAAUGCUAAGUUUAGUAAUGGGGAUCUUUUUCUGUUUCUGUUCUUUUCUCGUGUUGUGUUGUUCUUAACCUUGAGUCAUAAAAUAUGUGAACUUUUUGACUCACUUUGUUGUGGAAACUCUAAUAUCAUUUAUCUUUUGGUUUUUUUUGGAUCAGAGCUUAAGGUCAAAAUCAAGCAUAAGGAUCAUCAGCCAGUGUACAGUCACACACUUGCAAGAGUAUUGGCAGAAUAUGCUUCAGCAGUAAGUUUAGGCACAAAUACAGAAUCUCAACUCUAUGUUUAUGCAAUAAUUGUUUCAUACCCAGUAGCUUUUACUUUUAGCAUACAUUGUAUUGCUAAGAUACUUUGUGGUUUAAUUCUGAGAAAUUCCAUACCAACAAUGUUUCUGAAGGAAAAUUUCGCACUUGCAGGUCUACGUGUCAGAUACAACACAAUUAUUUACUUGGACAUGUGAAAGAUGUAAUGAUCUCACCGAGGUACUUUAUGAGCAUGACCACCACUUUAUGCUCGGCUGAUUGACUAACGGAAUUGCGGAUUAUUGAUGCAAUUUUUUUGGUGGCUAGUAUCACAGUAAUGGUCAAUUUUGUGUCUAAGCAAAGAAUUUUUCUAUAUUGGAGCAGGGUUUUGAAAUGAUAGAGCUGAUUAUUGAUGUCCAAUGCUGUCUCCAGGUGUGGUUUUACUGUAUAAUGGAAUGAGGAAGGUGGAUUGCAUUCUAAUUUAAACUGUUUGAUCCAAGUCUUCUCCAUUUCUUCCCUUGAUGAUGACAUUUCCUUGUUUGGAAGCCAAGUUUUUUGCCAAGUUUGUUUGCUACAAAUUUUUUAAAAACUUAUUGUUGCUUACAGUUUCUUAUAAUUGCUGCAGGCAUUCGUAGGAGUAGCAAAGGAUCUCAAUGCUAUUGUAAUUGCAUUUAGAGGCACUCAAGGAACCAGGUUUCAUUAUUUCCUUACUUUGUUGUUGUGUUUUUCUCUCAAUAUAGACUGUUUAGUGAAGUACAAGGGCCUUGCUUGAAGUUGACAGUUGGAGUUCAUUAAUUAUGUUCAUUUAAGGAAAAGAAAAAUGACUACAUGUCCUUUGAGAUUUCCCCAAAACUUAGUAUGUUUUUUUGCAUCCAAAUAGCGGAUGGUCUGCAGCCAUUUCUAACACCCUGAGAUAGAUGACAGGAGUGAUGUUUUCAAUUAGCUAUUCACUUAUCGUAUUUAGUACAUAAUAGCAAGUAUCUUAGCCUGAAUGUUCUGUCAUAUUCUGAUUUCCUUGUGUGGAUUAAUUUGUUGUAUACAGCAUACAGAAUUGGGUUACAGAUUUGUACUGGAAGCAACUUGACAUUAAUUACCCUGGAAUGGAUUAUGCAAUGGUGUGUGCUAUAUUGAGUUUUGAGUUAUGCCUCACCUCUAGAUCCUUUAUGGAACAAAUUGUGUUCAUUUGUCUCUACAUUGUUUCAGGUGCACCAUGGUUUUUAUGCUGCAUAUCACAAUACAACUUUACGUCCAGGAAUUUUAAGUGCUGUUGAAAGAGCAAAGGAGUUAUAUGGUGAUAUUAAAAUCAUGUUGACAGGGCAUUCGAUGGGAGGAGCUAUGGCUGCUUUCUGUGCACUGGAUCUCACGGUAAUUGUAACCUCAAGAGUUUUGAAGUUUUUAAUUUCUAAACACUUUGUCUUCUACAUGUCUUACGAAUACACGAUAGAUUAAAUAGGGAAACUAUUACUAUAUUCUGAUCUUUUAAAUUAUUUUUUGUUGGAAUCAUUGUCUUUAUAUUUUCGUUUCCUCCAUAUUCACUACUCAUAAUCCUCCUUACACCCACUUUAAAGAAAAUUUAUAGAAAGAAAAGGGAGGAAAAUUUCUUUAAAGUGUUCCUUGAUGGCUGAACUAGCCGUACAUAAGUGCUUGCCAUAUGCUUCUGUUGUUACAAAAUAUUUGGUCGUGCCAUUUUCUGCUGUUAAUAUGCCAUUCAUGAUGUUAACGGUCAAUAAGAGAGGUGACAUGAUCUUUUCUUUUCAUUUUUAGAAAAUAGAGCAUGGAAUGAUUAUUAUGUACAGAAAGUUUAUUUAAGGGUAAUUGGUGGAUAGUUGCAUCUCUGGACGAACAUUAUGAGAUUGUGUCGAACACACUGUGCUUUGCCAGGAUAUUUGUUAGGUUAUUCUUGGGUUAUCUUAUCAUCAAAGUUUUCUCUGCUUAUUCCCAGGUCAAUAUUGGAGAGAAAGAUGUUCAGGCUGUAACAUUUGGACAACCUCGAAUUGGUAAUGCAGCUUUUGCAUCCUACUAUAGUAAAUUCGUUCCUAAUACAAUCAGGGUUACACACGAGCAUGAUAUCGUGCCUCAUUUGCCGCCUUAUUAUUAUCAUUUCCCUCAGAAGACGUAUCAUCACUUCCCAAGAGAGGUAAUCCUCUGAUAAGUUGGAUCUUGUGCGGUUGGUUACAUGCAUGGUAUUUUGGUCAAAUUGCAUACUAGGUGGAGUCAAAUAAAAUGUGUACUUUUCUGAGAUUGCUUUCUAGCUUUUUCUCAAAUUAGUACUUGGAUUUGCAGGUGUGGCUUUAUGAUAUUGAUUUAAGAAGUUUAGUUUAUACGGUUGAGAAGGUCUGUGAUGGUUCUGGUGAAGAUCCCACAUGUAGCAGGUGAAUUUUCUCUUUAAUUAACUCUUAAGAUGCGAAAAUUGUUAUUUUGAGUGAUUACUUCUGCUGCCUGCCUGGAACUUGAUGUAUGAGAGGAUGUUGAUGACAAUGAAGAUACUUGGCUGCCCAUACAACAGUAUUAAGCAAUUGUCUCUUCUUUCAUUGACUAUAUGAAAGACAUAAUAAGUUGAUUUUGCUCAAUCUACCCAAAAAAAAAAAAAAUUGUUUUGGCUCAUGCAUGCUCUGUUCGCUGAUGGGGCAAUUAUCUGAAAAGUUAGUAAGAACUUCUGCAGGUCAGUGGUUGGAAACAGCAUUCUUGAUCAUUUGGCAUAUUAUGGUAUUCAAAUGGGGUGCGAGGAAGGAGGCUCGUGCAGCACAAUCAUGGAUCCUAGUUCUGUUGCAUACAGAACCAUGGAUAUUGAAGGAAAUUUUGUGUUAUCUCGAAAUUUAUCCUUCGAUAGUUUGAGAAGAAGCUCAGAAGUGAAGGGUCAGGUGGAUUCAAUGUAGAUAUGUUAUUACUCUGUAAAUGGACGAGAUGUCGCCGCAUUCUUUUGAUCCUUUCGCUGGGGUUCUGCAGCUCUGAAGUACACUGCUGGAAAUUGGUAUUUCUCAGGCAUGGUUGUGAAGAAUUACCUGUACAUAGUUAACAGAUAAUUUUCUGAAACGAAAAGGGGAAUUGCUACUGGCUUCAUCUUUGUUUAUGUAAAUACAUUAAUUGUUGAUAUAUACAAAGAUUAAGCAACUGGGAGGUGAUGGAGACAUUGAUCAUUCUCCACAUCGAAGCUGCUUUCCCUAAACCCCCUAAAAUAAACAAAUAAUAAUAAAGAUCGACUUCCAUGGUUCAUGUUAUCGUAUGAGAGAUGACACGUUAAUACAUAUGGGAGAAAAGGCGAAAACGAUAUCAUUGUUGUGUCAUCCGCCCACUUUCUCAAAUUGCUUUGUAAAUAUGUGUUAUGACUGGCGAUUGAGAGGGGGUAGAAAUACUGUAGUCGCUGAAGAUUGACAUCUCUGUGUGCCCUCAACGGAAAUAGUUUUUUUUUUUAAUUAAUAAGUGAGAGAUCUUGAUUCCAAAUUAUUUACUUACAUUUCUUUAUUCAUACAUUUUAAUCCAUUCUUUCUUUCUCGUACCAUUCAAUCCAUUCCUUUACCUCAUAAUUUGUGCCCUUCUAUUAAAAUGAGAACAAAAAAAGUGAGCGUCAGUAUUAUUACUCAAUGGUCAUAUGUUGGGUAUGUCUUAGAUUGGGGCUUUGUUGAUCAGUGAUGAAAAUGCCAUUCAGAUUCUCAAGGAACUCGUGAAAUAAGAACAGAGUUUGAGAUUUUGAUGAUACAUCUGAUAUCAUAAAUUUAUUCUAUAAAGUAAUUUGAAACUUUGGAUUUAUUGUGACGUUAAUUGAUUUUUGGUCUGUAGUAUUCUAAAACAAAACUUACAGUUUAAUUUCAGAAUCUUUUAAAACCAAUUGAAACCAUCAAGAAUCCAUUUAAAUAAAGGCUUAAUAAAGUCCCUCAAUGCAAAAAAAAAAAAAGGUUAGAAACCAAAAAGCCUCAUAUGGUAUACCUAAUACACAGAAAAGCCUCCCGUAGUUUUAAAACAUACAAAACGAUACCUCAUAUUUUGAACUAAAUUGUGAACUAACAGAAUUUGUUAAACUUAUCCUAAUUAUCAACAUGGGUGGAGCUAAGACCCCAUAUUAAGUGGGGUCAAAUUUUAGUAAAAUAAAAACUAUUAACGUUACACGCAAGUUAAAAUUGUACAAUACAAGUGCUCAUUUUUAAAAUGUUGCAAAAUCCAUUCAUUGUCAAUUUUGUUAAAUACAUCUUUUUCAAUGUAACUAAACGAAUCUCUUGAUUUUUUUAAAAAUAAUUUGCGAAUCUUCAUCAACUUGAUUUUCUAUGAGUUUCUUUUAAGAAAUUUAUUUUUACUUUGUUAUAAAUAAAAAUCAUAAUAACUUUAUUUCAUAUUAUAAAUAGAACUGGCAAUAAACCCUAAAACCCAACAACCCACCCAACCCGCCCAUUAAUUCCAAAAGAUGGGUUGGGUUAGUUGGGUUAUGAGUUUUGUUGAGUUGGAUAAAAAAAAUCCAACUUAUUUAUUGGACGGGUUGAAUUUUUUAUUUGGACACCUAAUACCCAACUUAUUUAAAAGUAAUUCAAAACAACAAAUACAAUAUUCAAUACACAUAUGUCCAACUAUUUGCAUUUGGACAUGUGUUAAUAAUUCAUUGACCAAUUUGUAUUCAAAAUUCUCAUAUAUAUGUUUGCAAUCAAUUUUUUUAAUUUUUAUUUAAAAGAAAAAAGAAACUUGAAACAAAAACUCAUGCUUAUUGUACUUUUACACAAUAGUUAAACUUGUUCAACUUUUAUAAUAAUUUAUUAUGCCUUUUAAGAGUAUUUGUUUUCCUCUCCUUUUUUUUUGUGGUUGUUCUCAAGUUGCUACUUGCUUUUGUUUGUUAAUAUUUCGUGUACAUAAAAUAGAGUUUUAAAUUCGCUCUAAUUGCAUUAUUUUACUUUUUUGUAAUUUGUUUUAUUUCAUUGUUAAUAAUUCCUCAUCAAUAUUAUAAUACAACAAAUUAUAUGCCUCUUACUUACAUUUUCAAGCAUAAUAUAAUCUAGCAUUCAAUAAUUUAAAUACAUAGAAUAUUACAACUUACAAUAAAUCAGAUAUGAAUAGUAAAAGUGUUAAUAAGUUGUGACAAAAAUAAAUUUCAAUCAAUUAGUAACAUUAAAAAUUAUAAAGUAAACAAAAUUUUUUAGCUAAUCUAUUUAAAUGUACAAUUUAUUAUCUUAAAUUUACAAUACAAGCAAUACAAAAUAUUGUUCUAUUUAUGAUGUGUUUCUAAGGACUUUAAGAAGUGAGUGUGUGUUUGUGUGUAUGAAAGUGUGUUAGUAUGUGAAAAUACAUUUAUCUAUGUAAAAAUGUGUUUAUGUGUGUUAAAAAAAUAUUUUUGUGUGUUAAAAUGUAUAUGAGAAAAUUUAUGUAUGAAAAUGCAUUAAUUAAUAUGUUGGAUCAUAUUUGGGUCAUAGGUUUGAGAUAACCCAAUCGAAAAUCAACCCAAUAUAAAGUUGGACGUGUUGGAUAUAACUCAUUUAAGUGAAAACCCAAUAUCAACUUGUCCAACUCGCCCAAUUGCCAGGUAUAAUUAUAAAUAAAAAAUUUACCAUCCACUUGAAAAAUUCUUGAUUUUGGAAAUUUUGAAAUUUCAAAAACUGGUUUUCUCACUCCACUCAAAAAAGUUCACCCUUUGUUUUUGGAAAUUUUGGUUGAAUUUAUUCUUGAACUAGCAUCCAUAAAUAACUUGAAAUAAAUUCAAAAUUAUUAUGAUGGCAAGAAUUAUGAAAUUUCAAUUGCUUGGGGUCAAAGUAGAUAGAAAAGAGAAAUUGGUAAAAUUUAGAGGGGUCAAAUAAGAUGCAACUUUAGAAUUUUCUAAAUUACCUAAACCUAUAACUAAUUUUCUAAAAUUAAGUGGGGUCAAUAGGCCCCACUUAGGCAUGUCAAUGGGUAGGGUCUAGGUUGGAUCCCUUUGAUCCAGAUCCAGACUCAUUUAAUUUAGUUAGGCCCAGAUCCAAAUCCAGACCCUUUUUGGUCCGAAAAAGCAAAUCCAUACCCAAACCCUUAUAGAUCUAGGUAUCCAAUGGGCAUCCAUGGGUAUUUUUUGAAAAUACUAAAGUAAAAAUAUAUUAAAAAUAUAUAGAGUUCAUAAAUAAUAGAAAUAUCAUCCAAUUUUUGUUUUCAAAUAAUAAAAUUAACAUUCAACAAAUUGAAUGCAAUAUUUUGAACUCAAAGAAAGAAUUAUUAUUGACUACUUCUAUAUAUUUUUAAAGAUUCAACUGCAUUCACAUCAAUAUUUCAUUUAUUUACUUUUACCUUUUUUUCUUUUCUUGAAAAAUUUGUACUAAUUACAAUGACAACUAGGAUUAGUUUUUAAAAAAGAAAACAACCAUAACAUAUAUAAAUAUUUAGUUUUAUUAAAAAAAUUUAAUUUUGUACCUCUUUUGCUUAUUUAAACCUCAAUGUUGGCUGAUGUCUCGCAAUCCAACACUAAAAUAGUGAAUGAGAUAAAAAUCUUUUGAUUAAGGACCGAUGACAAAUAAAUAGUAGCAUAAGAAGAUUUAUAAACACUUGCUCAUUUUUUCUUUGAUUCAAUCCAAUCAUCAGUAGUCACUAAUGUUUCAACCACAUAUAGAAGCAAUUUAGCAUGAGUCUCAUUAAUCAUCCAACUAGCAACAUUAAUUGCAGAUUCUGAUGUCAUAAAAUCUUAUUGUAUUUGAUCUAAUAGCCAUAAAAUAUUAUAUUAUUUUAUAAAAUUUCUAAUAUAUAUUAUUUAAUUAAAUAUAUAUAUGGGUCCGGGUAAGGUCUGGUAUGGGUUUGGAUUUAGAUAUGGAUUCUAGAAAACCAAGCCCUACCUAGACCCACGACUCUCUUAUAGGGUCUGGGGUCUAGAUAGGAUCUGGAUUUAAGAAAUUAAAUCCAAACCCUACUCAAAUAUAUUGGGUCUGGAUUGGAUUUGGGUAAGACCCGACCCAUUGACAUGCCUAGCUCCACUUGCUUAUCAAUCCAAUUAUCUUUAUAUUUUAAGUAUCAAAGCCACCUCCAUCUUUCACUAAUAGGAGCAAGGCUUUCUACUAAUGCUAAGUUCAAAAUAGCAGGUGGAUUUUAUCGUUUAUAAAAUUCCUUUCCUUUCUUCCUAUUCAGCUUUUCAUGAGAGAAGAGGAAAUCCUCGCCCAAAAGGGGGAAAAAAAGGAAUCAAGAAAUAAAGAAGGAAAUAGAAAGUUAAUAAAUAAGACCAAUUUCCUUCUUUUUUUGAAUAGCAAUGUCGAGAGUUCUCACUAUUACCUACACAUCUUUUAAAAUUAUGAAACAGCCAUUUGUAUAAUGUAUAGGUUGUCAAUUUGAAGCUUAUCAAGUAUGUAAGAAACAUUUAAGCUAGAAUGUUAAACCACUAUAGGUACAUGUUUCCUUAGGAGAAACAAACAAGAAGAUGAAGGAAAAUCCGUAAGAUACUGUUUAUUUCGAGCAAAGUAUACAAUGAUGUAGGCUUAUGCCUCACUUAAUUGCAGCAAGUCUACCAGCAUAGUUGUUAAUUGUAAACCAUUCUGUAGGAAACUAAGUGCGAAAUCCAAUUCAGUUCGAUCUCAGAAGUAGCUUUCGAGGUUAGGUCAGGAACCAAACCUCAUUCCUUCUCCUCUUGUUUUACUACCUCAUCUGUGAAGAUGGCAAGUUAUAUUAAGUGAAAGCCAUAGUGGAGGAGGAAGAUCUGGACUAAAUUUGCAUGAUGUUCCAAAGGUUUUCCAACCAUGCGAUUCUAUGCUGGAAUUGACAUGUAUAAAAAGACUCGGGUGCAAUAUUAUGAAAUGCAUCUAGAGUAGGGUACCUACUCUCCUUGUGGUUAAAAAUCCAUACUUUAUAUGCUUUUCAUCUCUACCAAUACAUAUAAGAUCCAAUAAUUGGUGAUAGAUACUAAUACAGUCAAGAUGGCAAUGUCAAAAUGCCCGUGCAGCUAUAAUGUUAUCUUCUUUUUCUUUUUCUCUUUGUUCGACAUCUGAAACCCUGGUAGAUAGGAAAUUAUGUGAUUGCUAACAAAGAGGACAACACAAGUAAUCAUAACCAUGGAGCACUCAUCAGUCAUCACCAAAGAUUCAAAACACUAAGCAAUUGAGCUUCAAAUCAACAAAAGUUGGACAUUGCAUUAUGCAUUCAAGGUAAGUUUGUGAAUGUAAAUGCUCUUUGACUAAAAGAAGAGAGAGAGACUAUCUGUUUAGGAAAAGGAAAGAGGUCGCGUAAAAGCAGAGAAAGAAAUAACUUACUAAAUCAGUGAUCAACAAAUAGAUGUGUAAAAUUUUGGGAAUAUACAAGCUUUCAAGGCCACUCGCCUGGGUUCAAACAUAACAUCAUCUGCUUUAACAUAAACCUUAGCAUCAUAAAGAGCAGAAGCAGCUUUCGUGAAAGCUAAUACUGUAAUAGGCUAUUUCAUCAAUACUAAUGUAUAGCAUGGGAGCUUACUACACCCCUUGUCAGUAUCUAGUAGCACAAUAUGCUAAUAUUCAUCUAACUUUCUCCUUAAGUCAAUUUGGGAAACCAAAGGCAGUUUUGCAUAUACCAGACGUGUAACUUACCAAGAAAAGAGUUACUUUUCUGCCAAGAAAAGAGUUACUUUUUCUCUCUGCCUUGCAUUUCAUAAGCCCUAAAAAGAUUUAUUGACCAUAUUGAGCGAGGCAACAAAGAGACAAGGCCACAAGAAUAAGGUUGCUUCAUUGCAUAUAGAAGGUAAUUGCUCUGACUGACUAUAUCAAAAUAUGCAGAUAGACCUUCUCAAAGUAUAUAUGUUAUAUGACAGUUUGAAUCAUAAUAACCACGAUAAGAGCAGUGAUAUGCUUGAAAUGCAAGGAAUAAAGAACUAACCAACAUGGCCCGAUUUAAAAUAGGAUCAAUACCAAGUAGAAAAGAUAUGAAGUACCUCGAGAGAAGCAAAUAGAGCCAUAUUAACCUAUCAUAACUUAUAAAUGGUCCACCACGAUCUUUUUUGGAGGUAAAGUUGAACUAAGACUUACCUCAAUCAUUUGAAAUGUGAAUAGAACAGCUCUCCAGAGUCUCAGACCAAUCACAACUACCCUAAUUUAGGAAACAUAUCUUAAAAGUGCAAGAUUGGGAACUAAUUUACAAAUCGAGCUUCAAUUAAGAGGACGGGUGUAGGUUGACAAAUAGAACUAAUUUCAUAAAGUAGUUACUAUUUAAGGAAGAGCAGACUCAAUCAGUGCAUUGCCAAUUUAGUUAAUCUACAAUGAAACAUGUAUGUCUGCACAUUGCUGCUAAAGAGUAGCAUAUAUGAAUCUAAAUGUUACUCCACACAUCUUCCAAGCAUCCAGUUUGACCAACUCUAAUUAAUGUAGUAACUUUGUAUGCCAUUUUUGCCCCUCAAAUAUUGAAAGGAAAAAUAGCACAAGAAAACUGAUGAAGGCUUAUGUCUUUGUCCAUUUCCAAAUACACCCACAAACGGAUCUCGUCGAACUGCACAAAUUCUUUUCAAUAUGGGAACAUUCAUAACCUUCUAACUUCCAUUUCCACACAAUGCAUAAGUUCAACCAAAACAACUUUUCAAAAACUCAUCUCUCAAUUCCAUGAUAAGUUCUUUAUCUAAUUACACGACCUGAAAUCUAACAAUCUCCUGAAACACCUAGUAAACAACCACAAAUUUUAAGAUUAAAGCACAUGUUUUCCUUUGAAUCCAAGUAAUUGAAGUUUAAAUCUCUUAAAGUAACUGCUAAGAGACCAAAUAUUGCUCUUAAUAAGUGAAAUGAACACUAUAAUCAGCCAAAUCAAAUCUCCAUUAUUUAAAAGAAAAAAAUUCUGUUGAAAUGGAAGAUGCUUUUUUCGCAUUCCACAAUUGUAUACACAUGCAAAAUCAUGAGCAUUAUGAAGGCCUAUUAUUAGAUAUUUACUAGAAAAAACAGUCCGCAAGCAAAAAGAAACUCUUACUAUGAAAUUAGAAAAAAACAAUUAUAUAUCAAUUUAAGAAAGCUUACGAAAUAUUUUGCCAUUGAAGAACUUGAUGAUGAGAGAAAACCGAGUCUGGUGCAGACUUUGACAACAACUAAUGGACCCAAACCCAGUUCAAAUUCUGAGAAAGCCUGUGGCUUUAUGCCAAUUUUUGCUUCCAAUUAAAUCCCAUUUAGCUUUGUUAUCACUGCUGCUGCUACCUAAACUAUGACUGCUAUCUGUUCUUACCGAUACCAACAGAAAGUGGAAAGAGAUUAGUGUAUUUACACCUGUAUCCUUUCCCCUGCUUGAUAGCUACAAUAAAAACCAACAAAAAUAAGGCCAGGCCAAACUAGAAAACAGAGGAACAUUGAGCCACAGGAAAAUUGGUAUUCAAAGUACAUUUAAAAACUAAAAGAAUUUCAUUUUUAAUAUGUAACAAUGUACAUCCAUUUCAUUUUUUCUAUUGCUAUCGAAACAAUUCUAAGGUUUUUUUAAAUAAUAUCAUACAACUGUUGAGAUUGUACAAAGGCACUACUAUAACAAAUUGGAGUAAUUUCAAAUUGAAGCCACUCCAUCGAAGCAAACCUUUGUCAGUUGAUUAUGCAAACAACUGGCUAUAGUUGCAUUUUGACAUUUUAAUUAGUUAACUAAGAAUUCUAGCAUCUAGCAAGUGAUUCCUUCCCACUAUGAGCAACUUCAUCAGGCUGUUGUCCACAGACAGGUUGUGGAGCGAACUUUUGUCUCAGGUCCUUGAUAAUGCAAACUACUAGCUUGGUCUUACUUUGUGCUCUCUCACUAGUCACCUUCUCUGAGUAUUUCUAUUCUAAUUGAGCUUCUCUAAAGGACAAGCCCUAUCAGCUUUUUUGGUCUAGAAUAUAUGGAAAGACCUCCUGGGGAGCAACCUCCUCUUGCAUUUGCAUAAUUAGUUCCUAUUUAUAACAAACAAGUUCAUUACAUUCUAAAGAGGCAAGAUGAAAGCAAUUUCCAUUAAAACAUAGGACACAACACUUGCCUAGUAUUGGGGUCAGCCUCUUUUGUCCUCAACUCUCACAUAUAGGCAUCUUCAGAUAUUUAGUUCCAGGAACUACCAUUAGUUGAAGGGCAAAUUAUAUUUUACCCCCUGUGAUUUUUGAAAAAAUCACAUAACCCCCCAUGAUUCUCAAAGCUAUACAUAAAUCCCAUGUGGUUUGGGUCGAAGUGUCAAACAGACGGAAAGCACCCAUCGUGACGAUUUGUGGGCGAAAUGUCCAAAUUAUCCAAAUAUAAAUACAAAAAAGGAAGCAGAUGAAGUUAGAUUUUCCCUUGCUCUAGUCUUUGUCAUGAGAAAGAGAGAGAAAAAGACCACCGACAAAUGAAGGAGAGAAAAUUUAACCCACAAAAUUAAAACCCUAGAUCUACCAUUGAAGAUCAAAAAGUAGCUGUGAAAGAGUAUCACGAAAGCUAUUGUUGUGUCUGGUAAGUUUUUCGACAUCAGUUUAGUAUAUAAGAUGCACUUGAGCAUUUGGAACCGAAACUAUCGGGCGUUGGAAAUUUAAUAAAUCAGUGAUAAUAAUGCUUAAGCAUUGAUUAAUUAAAAUUUUGCUGCUUUGGGACAACCUGUAUUAUCAUGAUUAAGGAUAGAGUAUUUUAUCAACUAGAAUUGAACUUAUGCGUUAGGAUUAGGGUAAAAAAAAUUGCAUUCAAAAGUUCUAAAAUCACUGGAAUUUCAGCUAAACAUGGGUAAAAUAUGGUUUUGUUAGUUUGAAAAAUGUUAAUUAGUGUUAAAUUUGGGUUAGAUUUGGGUGGCUUGGUUGUCAAUAAUAUAGAGUGAUUUGGCUGCCAAUAAAGUUUUGGCAAUUUGGCCAUUGACUAAUUCUUGCUUGUCGGCCAUCAUGUGGUCCAUUGAAGUAUAUGAUAAGCUAUAGGUUCUUUUCUUAAUCAGAUUGUGUUUUUUCUUAUCAUGUGUUUUCACUGAAGUAUGUAAUUUAUUGUAUGUCCUUUUCUUAAUCAGAUUGUGUUUUUUUCUUAUCAUGUGUUUCACUAUUUCUAAUGCAAGCUUUCAAAAAAAAUGACAACUUCAAAAAGAAUAACUAUAAAAUUGCAUUUUGGUGGUAUAUUCAUAUGGGAACCAGAAAUUGUCUAUACUGGUAACAAUGUUGCCAUAUUUAAAAAUUGUGAGACAAGGAAAUUGUCUAGGGAUAUGUUGUGUGAAAUGUAUGGUAGGUAUGGUGAUGCCUCAAAUGUGAACCUAUAUUUUGAAAUACCAGAUUGUGGGUUGUAUGUUAGAGCAGCUGAAAUCAAAGGAGAUAAAGAAAUAGAGUUAAUGUUAACUGUGCAUGAAGGCGUAGAUGUUAUCAAUAUAUAUGCUAAAUUGCGUGAUGAAAAACCUAGUCAAGUCGCUUUUUUCAGAGUAAAAAGUCAUGUUAAAAGUGCCACCACUAAUGUCCCAUUUUUUGUGAGCUGUCAUGAUGAUAAUAGAAAUAACCUGUUAGGCAAGAACAUGCGAGAGGAUAAUGGGGCACAAAAUAUGACAUCUGAUAAAGAUACCCCUAAAAAGUUAGCAAACAAUAAAGGGAAACAAAUAGUCAAGAAGUCAGCGAGAAAACCUACUAAAGAAGCUGGAAACAAAAAGCACAACAAAGCAAUCACAAAAUCAGCAAAGAAAAAAGAUGAAAAAGCUGUAGAGAAGCAAGAUGAAGUUGAAAAAUAGUUUGCAAGUGAAGAUGAUGUUAGUGAUGCUAGAUCUAACAGUUUAGAAGAACCUGGGUGGUUGAAAGAGGGAUUAGAAGGAUCAAAAGAUAAGGGUGUUUUUGCAAACAUAGCAAAGGCUAAUGAAAUAGAAAAUCAACAGCAUCCAUAAAGCACAACUAAAGAACCAGCAACAGCAAAGCAGACAUAUACAUUGGAGGAUCUGCCACCACCGAGAUAUGAUAAGAACAUUUUUGAAGAAGGGGAGAGUUCUAAAAUUAAUGAAGAGUGGAAUGAAUUUGCUGUUGAUGAUGAAGAACUGCUUGACAUUAUGUGGAGAGAUGAUGAAAGAAAUGGGAAAGGUAAUAGCUGUCGAGAUUUUAAUGCUGCAGUUGAGUACACAAAAUCAAAUUUUGAGCUGAAAGUUGGGGAUAAAUUUAAGAACUUACAAGCCUUUAGAGAAGCACUUAUGGAAUGGAAUGUCAGGAAGGCUACACCAUCAAGUACAAAAAAUGAAAAAGUAAAAGUUAUUGCCAUGUGCAAAAAGGGUUGCUCCUGGAGGAUACGUGCAAGCCCAAUUAAAAAAAAGCACUUUCCAAAUCAAAUCAAUAAAAAGAGUACAUGUGUGUGGAAGAGAAUACAGCAACCAUCAUGCAAAUGCAAGAUAUUUGAGCCAAAAAUAUUUAGACAGGUUCAAGGAUGAAUCGAAUUCUUCUAUUGAAGGAUUUGUCAAAACUGUGAAGAGAGAGAUUAUGGUUGACAUAAGCAUUAGAUAGGCUUAUAGAGCUAAAAGGUUUGCAAGAGAGGCACUACAAGGGAAUGAUAUGAGACAGUAUCAUGUUAUCAGAGAUUGUGCUGCUACCUUGUUGAUCCGAAAUCCUGGUAGCCGUAUUAUCCUGCAAGUGGCUAGACUGGAUGACAAUGAGGUUGGGACAUUUGAAAGAAUGUACUACAGUUUAAGUGCAAUGAAGAAUGGGUUUCUAGCUGGUUGUUGACCAAUAAUUGGAUUAGAUGGCUGCUUUUUUAAAAAGCCCAUUUGGUGGAUAGCUUUUGACAGCUAUAGGCAAGGAUUGCAAUGAUAACAUGUUUCACAUGGCAAUUGCUGUAGUGGAAGCCGAGAGAUAUGACUCACGGAAAUGGCUUUUGAUGAAGUUGAAAAUUGAAUUUGGUGUUGGAAAUGGAGCUUUAUGGACAUUCAUAUAUGAUAGGCAAAGGGGUUAGUUAGUGCAAUUGAUGUGUUUCCUGAAUCAGAGCAUAGGUACUGCCUUCGCCAUAUAUAUCAAAACUUCAAACAAAAGUUCAAGGGCAAGGAGUUGAAGGAGUACCUUUGGGCAUCUGCUUCUGCUGGGAACAUUCGUGACUUUAAGACAGCAAUGGCUGAAUUGGAAAGGGCUGAUCCAAAGGUGGAAGAAGCUAUGAAUGUAGCUAGUUGGUUAAGUUGGAUUCCUGCACAUUUAUGGUCCAGGUCACACCAGCUCCUCAUGCAAGAGUGAUAUUCUUGUUAAUAAUUUGAAUGAGUUGUUUAAUUCCUACAUACUUCCAGCAAGAGAUUUUACAAUCAUCUGCAUGUUUGAGUGGAUAAGAAGAAAACUGAUGCAGAAGCUAAAUGUGAAAAGGGAAGGCAUGCAAAAGUAUCAAGCGAACCUCUGUCCAAACAUACAAGAACGACUUGAGAUAGAGCUGUUAAACGAGCCGAGUCGAGCUCGUUCGAUUAGUAAUUCGAGCUUCACAAGGCGUUCGAGAUCGACUCAAUAUACUGGUAGAAAACUCGAGCUCGGGCUUGAACUCGAGUUUGAAAUCGAACCAAGCUCAUCGAGCUUGAAACUCGAGCUCGAGCUUGCAAAAAACUGGAGCCGAGGCUCCAAAGAUUUAACUUCACUUUCCUUUAUCCACUUACCGUUUAUUGUGGACAUCAUACUAGAGCUAAUGCGGUCAAGAAUCUACUGCUUUUUCAUCCAUAACUUGAAGAAAUCAUAGAGCACAAGAUUUUGUUAUUAACAAUUGGCAUGGGCGCUAAAAGAUAUAAACUAUAUACUAGCAAGAAAUAAAUAUUCAAAGAAACUAAAUAGUAGAACAAUCUCGCUGCUACUUGAUGCUACCACCAAUUAACGACUAGUAUCAGUGUAUGAAGUAAAUUAGAAUCUAUCUCCACUGUGCACCUUCUUGCUAUGCCUGCUCAGAUUAUGCAGCCACCCAAUUCCUUUAAUGGCUUUAGAUAUCUUAACAAGAUUAGGCCUUGUCAUUCCCAAAUUCACCCUUCCUGCUGACAACUUAAGGGCUUGCAAGAAACAAAACUGCCCAUCUGACUCCUUCUCCUCAUCGUGCCCGUCGCAGCUGAUAUCUUCGCAUUCACGAUGCUUGCUUUCGUAUUUCUUCUUGUAACUCUUCUUCUUGCUCUUGCUGUUUGCCUUGCUCUUAGUCGAUUCCACCACGUACGUCUCCCACAAUAAAUCCAUCCCUUCACCUUCAUCGGCAUUGUUUCUCUCCUCAAAAAGCUGUCGGGUGCGGCCUAUGAAUAGAGGCUGCGGGGUGCAGGGUGAGAAUGGAGGCUACUGGGUGCAACGUGAGAAUGGAUGCUGCGCGGUGAGAAUGGAGGCUGCUAGGUGCGGCGUGAGAAUGGAGGCUACGGGGUGCGGGGUGCGGUUGGAGAGUGACGGUUAUUGACGGGAAAACAUAAGACCAGAAGAGGAAAGAAAAUUAGGGCUACAGACAGAGACGGGAGAUAACUUAGAGUUCCACAUAUACAUUGAAAUGACGAAAAUGCCCCUACCCUUCGAGCCUAACGAGCUUAAACGAGUACUAAGUAGAGCUCAAGCUCGGAUCGUUUGUCUCUCUAAACGAGCCGAGCUGAGCUCUUAUCGAACCGGGUCGAGCUCGGCUCGCAAGCUACUCGGUUCGAUUAACAGCUCUACUUGAGAAGAACAAGAUAAAUAGCAGGUUCUGCAUAGCUCAUUAUUCUCGAGAUGCUGAGUAUGAAGUGGACUGUGAGACUAGAGGAUAUUUUGUUGAUAUAAGUCGUAGAACAUGCACAUGUGGACUAUGGCAACUAACUGGGAUUCCAUGCUCACAUUCUAUUGUUGCCAUUCAAAGGGAUAAAUCAUAGCCUGAACACUAUGUUGAUCCUUGUUAUAGCAAAGAAGCAUACUUGAGCACCUACAACUACACUAUAGCUGCAAUGCCCUUUGAAGAGUAUUGGGAUUCAAAAGGAGCUAAACAGGUGAAUCGUCCAAAGAUUAGAAAACAACUUGGAAGACCCAAAAAAGUCAGAAGAAGAGAAGCUGAUGAAGUUAGAAGCACUACAUCUACAAGAAAAGGACUUGUUGUGCACUGUAAGAAGUGUUUUAUGCCAGGACAUAAUUCUAGAACUUGUAAAUUCCUAAUCCAUCCAAAGUCUAGGUUUUAUAAGGUAAAUUGUAGUAGUUGUUACUCCCUCCGUCCCAUUGUUAAUGUCAUGUUUCACUUUUUCAUUGUCCCAAAAUUAGAGUCACGCUACACUAUUUUCCUUCUCACGUUCCAUCCUUGCCCUCAUAGUGCAUGUGCUAGAAAAUCCAAAUAAAUUUGGUGGGACCUGCUAUUUAUUAUCUAUUUGGAGAAGCCAGAGGAGUAUGUGAGACUAACUCUCACUUUAUAAGGCCAAUAAUAGCGCGUGUCUCUAACAUACAAAGGGAUGCAUUUGGUUAAGAUAGGACCCACAAAAUCAUUACUCCGUGAAAAACACAAAGUGCAGCUGACCAUUGUACUUGCGAUGGGGUAAAUUUGGAACAAAGACUUGGCUGUCAAUAAUGAUACCACUGUACAUAAAAAGUUGCAUUCCCUAUAAGCGUCCCUACUAUUGGGACGGAGAGAGUAAUUUGUAAUCAGUGUUACUAUUAAAAUAGGUGCCUAGUGGAGCUAGUGGUGCUGGAUAUGCAAGUAAUGAUGUUGCAAAUGAAACAGAUAUUGGUGGAAAUGCAAUAAGUAUUGGAUCUGUCUCACAACAGGGUUCAACGUCACGGGUACUAUUAAUGAUGCUGAUUAUUACUUUGUUAACUGCAAUUUACUGACUUAAAUCUAUCUAUUUAUGCAGCCUUAUGCAAUUUCUGCCGUUGAACCAGUUUUGGCUACUAGAAGAUCAACUUCUACUAUUGAAUCUGUUUGGAUAGUAGAAGAUCAACUAGAGUUAGAAAACUUGUACCAACAGUUGCAAGUGUGUUGGAAAAUUUGCGGGUUAAGAGAGCUAAACGUGUUUGAUGACCAUUGGUUAAGGAGUUGUAAUUCAACUAAGUUAUUUGUCUUCAAUGCUUUUUGUUAAUAGUUUGUUGCUGGACUUUUUGUUAAAUCUUGGUGUCUGCUGGACUUUUUGAUUAGGUACUUAUGUACCUUAUUUUGUUUUGUAAAAACUGGUUGAUGUAUUACCAAAUUUUUGUGAACUUCUGGACAGCUAUAUUGUCAAAUGAAUCCAAAAUUCAACCUAUGAGUACCAAAGUAGGUUCAUACCAACUGGAAAUCUUGUUUACCCAUUUAUAUCAAUUGACCACCAAAACAGGUUCAUUCAUUCAUUGAAGACAACAAAGUAAUCCAUUUAAAGACAAGAAGUCCAGAUUUACAGCAUUUUCAUAUCCACAAUUCAUUUGAUAUAUUUUCAUGUGAACAUCAAAACGAGAAAUGAUAACACAGAUAUAGCAAAACAAGCACCCAUACAAAUCUUCAUGACUCCUAAGGUUUCUUCAAUGUUUUUCAUUUUCCUCAAAUAUAAACCACCAUCCACGCGUAAGCCUUCCAAAUCUGAACCAUCAAUACUUGAUUCUCCACUAAAGAUGUCUCCGCUUGUAACAUUCAAAUCACUGGUGUAAUUUUGUCUUAUUCUCCUUGUUGGAUUGCACCAUGAGAAAAAUUCACAAGUUUAUGUUACACAAACAAAAUAUAGCUUUCCUUUUGAAGGUUUGUCGGAUACCACUGCUUUUCUCCCGCAUGCACAAUGCAGGUAUUGGUACCUUAGAUCUUGAGUACUUCCACCAGCACUGCUUGAGCAUGACAUCUAGAGUUUAUUGAAAAUAAUAAUAAUAAUAAUCCAUUCAAGUUAUAUUUCAGGAAAAGGAAAAGACUGCACCUUGAUGUUAUAACUCACCUUCAGAUUUCAUUCUUUCUAAAUCUUGGUUUGGUUUCUUCAGUAAAUGUAUUGCCUUCACCAAGAUUCAAUGGAAAGUCAGCUACAAAGUAUUUUCGGUUCAUGAAAAGAGAUAAGGAGCACAGAUCUAGGCUUUACUGGGUGCGUUAAAGUGGUUAGGGGUAAUAUGAGAAUGUUUCUUACUGCUACCAGUAGUACAAGUGCAUUUAAGCCACAAAUCGUCAUGAUGGGUGCUUUCCGUCUAUUUGACACUUGAAUCCAAAUCACAAGGGGUUUAUAUAUAGCUUUUAGAAUUAUGGGGGGGUUAUGUGAUUUUUGCAAAAAUCACAGGGGGUAAAAUGUAAUUUGCCCUUAGUUGAAUCAUGCUCAAACUUUGGUUAUCAUGGUCUUCCAAAUUUGUAAAGUCAAAACCUGCUUUCCAAGUCUCAAUUGUACUCAGAAUGGCAGCUACUAUGUGCUUUUCAACCUUAAGAGAUUUUAGCAUCUACAGAACAAUUUAGCUUUCAUUAGUUAAAGAAGCCACUAUCAUGAACUUUUCUUCAGCAGAUAGUUAAAAACUUCAGAAAAAUUUGAGUAAAUAUACCAUAUCAUAAUCGACUUGCUAGGUAGCAGCAUUUGGUAAAAUAUGGACAAUAAACAAAACACGUUCAUGCAAAUGGGAUUUGACCUUAAAAUGUAGAAGGGGAAUUUUUUACAUGAAUCAUCCAAAAAUGUAGAAGUCACAAAAGUAAAACAAAGAAAGGUUUUAAUACAUUUGUACAUGUGAGCCCUUGUAGUGGUGUGUGUUUUUGCCUGUGUGCACGCAAUAGUGUGUGAAGCAUGUGCCUGCUUUCGUGGGGGUGUGUGUGUGCGUGUGUGCAUGUCAUAGAGAGAGAGAGAGAGAGAGAGAGAGAGAGAGAGAGAGAGAGCUAGUAAACUGAAAAUUUAACAUUAAAGAGAAUUGAACUACUAAAGUUGAGCUUACCUGUGAAACUUUGAGAGAGAAAAGAAAUUAUUCCCAUUAUUUUGAGAUGAAUAACAAACAGGCACAUAUAGUAGAAAGAUUGGUAUUCCAAUCCAGAAAUUUAGAAAGAAUUCCUUUAGAUCAAAAAUUUCACAAAGAAUAUGAAACUAACUAGAUAAGACUCAGUUAACAUCCAACCAAAUCUCUUUAUCGGAAACAAUAACUAGAUAAAGAAUACUAAUAUAGAUGACAAUUUCACACUCCCCUUGAUGCGAAUUCGAUUAUCCAAACUCCCGCUUUUCAAGAAACGAAUUGCACAGGCAGCAGAAUGAUCUAUCUUGAUCAGACUAUAGAUACAAAAGAAUGGAUUCUAAACAAUCAAGGACCGCUCGAGAUUGAUUAGAAGGGUAGAAUGACACUACAAUUCAACAUGAUCUUGAAUUGAUAAGUCGAUUGAAAAUUCAAGAAUCCUCUCAAGUAUUCAAGAAAAGAUCUCUUAGACAAGAGACUUGCUAAACACAAAGUGUUUUGCUGGAAUUUUCUCUAAUUUAUCAUGACUUCUAUGAAAAUAACGUUUGAGACAAUGCUUAUUUAUAGCCUUACAAAGACUCAAAAUCCUAUCUAAACUAGAACUACGUUCCUAAAUCCUAACUCGACUAGAAUAGGAAACUAACUAACUCAAAUUGGCUAACACUUUGGUCCAUAUGACCUUAGCCAUUUAUUCAACCAAACUAACAACUCAAAUUAACUAAUUAACCAACUACUAUUUGCUGAAAAUAAUUAGACACAUAUGGUUAGAAUUUUUCAAGCAAACGACAAGAUUAAGGAAACUAACAUAAACGACUUGAACUAAGGACACUAAGGAAAAUCAAGGAAGGGAUCUCGGAUUUGAUGACUCUAAUGGAUGAUUUGAUGAACUCCAAUGGGUCAAUCUCUUGUAUGAUUUGAACAUGAAUCAUUGGAUCCCAUGUUCAUAUCAUCCCUUCAAGCUAGGUUGCACAAAUUGUACAUGCUCAGCUUGCAACUCAACUCUUCAAAUCUAGUUCUUGGAAGUGAUUUGGUGAGAUUAUCAGCAAUUGAUGUUGAGAAGGGAUGUAGACAAUUUGAACAGUCCCAUUUUCAAUCUUCUCUAGGAUGAAAUGACGACCAAUCUGAAGAUGCUUUGUCUUAUCAUUGUGAACAAGACUUUUAGCAAUGUUGAUAGCUGCCUGGUUAUCAUAGAAUAACUUGAUUGGUUGUUUGUCCAUCACCCUCAGUUCACUAAGUAAUCUUUGAAUCCAGAUAUCUUCACAAAUUCCCAAAGCUAAUGAUAUGAACUCGGGUUCUGUACUACUUUGAGACAACUGAUUGUUUCUUACUUCUCAAUGUAACAAGGUUUCCGAAGAUUUAUGAACAAUAAUCAGAAAUUGAGCAUCUAUCCAGUAGAUUCCCUAUGUGAUUAGCAUCAGUAUAGAUAUCAGUCUCUAUUUUGCUAUUCUUCCUGAAUAAUAAUCCCUUUCCAGGUGUUGACUUAAGAUAUCUUAGUAUCCUAUACAUAGCCUUCAUAUACUAUUCCGUGGGAUUAUUCAUGAAUUGACUUACUAAAUUGACAGUAAAUUCAAUGUCUGGAUGCGUUUAGGAGAGAUAAAUUAAGUUACCAACAAGUUGCUGGUAUCUCCCCCUAUCUACGGGAAUACUUCUUGAUUCUACACUUAUCUUUUAGCUUAAAUCCAUGGGUAUAUCUACUGGUUUACAGUCAAGCAUCCCUGUUUCCUUCAACAUAUCCAAUAUAUAUUUUCAUUGAGUCACUGCAAUACCUUCUCUUGACCUUGCUACUUCUAUACCAAGAAAAUACUUUAGAUUACCAAGCUCCUUAAUCUCAAACUUUCGUGCUAGAUGUUGUUUUAAGAUCUGUAAUUCUUCGUCGAAAUCAUCAGUAAGAAUAAUAUCAUCAACAUAGACAAUCAAAAUAGCAAUUUUCUUUUCAGUUGAAAACUUGACAAAUAAGGUAUGAUCUGAUUGGCAUUGUUUAUACCCACAUUUUUUCACAAGCUUUGCAAACCUAUCAAACCAUGCGCGAGGAGACUAUUUCAAUCCAUAAAGGGACUUUUGUAGUCUACAUACCUUGUUUUUAGUGUGGGAAAUUUUCAUUCCGAGGGUACUUCCAUAUAAACUUCUUCUUCAAGAUUGCUAUUUAGAAAUGUAAUGUCGAGUUGAUGUAAUGGCCAGUCACAAUUAGCUGCAAGUGAAAGAAGAACUCAGAUGGUAUUAAGUUUAGCAACUGAAGCAAAGGUUUAUAGAUAGUCAAUAUUAUAUGGCUGUGCGAAUCCCUUAACAACAAGGCGAGCUUUCAGCCUCUCAAUACUUCCAUCUGCUUUGUUUUGAUGGUAAAGAUCCACUUGCAACCUACUGACUUUUUUCAAGCAAGUAAAUCUGUAAUCACCCAUGUUCCAUUCCUUUCAAGUGAUGUGACCUCCUCAUGAAUAGCUUUUCGCCAUCCUGGAUGUUUAAGAGCCUCAUAAAUAGUCCUCAGAACGUGUACACUGUCAAAUGAAGUAAUAAAUGCCCUGCAUGUUGGAGAAAGAGAGUUAGCUCACAAAAUCUCCAAUCGGAUGUUUGGUACAUGAUCUUACACCUUUCCUUAGAGCAAUUGGAGCGUUAUCAUUAUCAAUCAUUGGAAUAAUUAAUUCAUGAGAAUGAUUGGAUUCACUUGAGUGAACUUGAGAAGAAUCAGAAUUCGGGUUGCAUUCAUGACAAUGCAUGAGAGGUACAGGGUUCUCACUCUCUUUGAUGUUCUUUUUCCUUUUUGUAUAGAUUUGAAGUUGAAAGGAGUCAAGUUGCCCAAACUUGUGAUUUGAGGUUGGACUAUUAGAUGAUGAAUGCUUGAAAUUGAUUUUUGGUAUGGUGCCUGAGUCAAAAGGAAGAUAAACUAGAAACUGAGGUGUAUGUUGUGUUUGAGUUGUGUUCUGUAUCUGGGUUAGCUCUCUGAUGAGAAGUUCAUCCCAAAAUUGAGAUUCCCUCACAUUCUCCCUCUAAAUGUUAGGUUUUGGAUGGUAAGGCUCAUGCUUAAAGAAAGUGACAUCCAUUGAAUUGUAUAUCCUUUUUGUAAUAGGAGAGUAUCAUUUAUAAACCUUUUGGUUGGAAUUAUAACCCUUUUGGUUGGAAGAAUAACCUAGAAAGACACAUUUGAUGGACUUAAGAUCUAAUUUAAUUUAGUUUGGGGAAUGGCUAUGAACAAAAACCAAACACCCAAAGAACCUUGGAGGUAUAUUUGAGGAGAUGAAUUUGAUGUGAGGAUAGACUUUUAGAAGAACUUGAUGAGGGUUUUGAAAUUUGUGGACUCUAGAGGGCAUUCUAUUUAUUAGGUAAGCAGCAAUAAGAACUGCCUCACCCCAAAAAUAUUUAGGCAUAUUAGUUAUGAAUAGAAGUGCUCUGGCUACCUCAAGAAUAUGGUGAUUUUUCCUUUCAACUACUCCAUUUUGUUGAGAAGUAUCUACACAUGAGCUGAUAUGGAUGAUGUUGUGAUGUGAGAGAUAUGAUUCAAGAUGGGACUUGAAGUAUUCUUUGGCAUUGUUAGUUUUAAAAUUUUAGAUAUGAGCAUUGAAUUGAUUUUGAACCAUCAUAUGAGCAUUGAAUUGAUUUUGAACCAUCAUAUGAAACUUUUGAAAGAUGUGACUAACUUCAUAUUUUUCUUUCAUAAGAAAUAUCCAAGUAAGACGAGUGUGAUCAUCCACAAAAGACACAAACCACGGAGCACCAGUGAGAAUUUUAAUUCGUAAUACACCCCACACGUCACUAUAAAUCAUGGUGAAAGGACGGAUAGGUAAGUGAUAACUUAGAGGAAAAUUUGUCCUAAUAUGCUUGACAAACCGACAGUUUUCACAGUGAAAAAUACUCGAGUUUUUAUUGAUGAACAAUUGAGUAAACAUCUUUUCUAAAUACACAAAAUUGGGAUGGCCAAGACGAAAAUGCCAAAGCAUAACUUCAUCCACAUUAUUGACACUUGAAUUGGAAAUAGAGGAGUAGAGAUGACGCAAUGACAUACUCUUUGACACACCAGUGGACAUUUUGCAACUUGAAUAAUUAGCUGGUCUACUUGCAGGGUUAUUAGUUUUGAGUAGGUAGAGAUCUGACACCAACUCAGCAUUGCCAAUUGUUUUCCUCGAUUCCAUCUCCUGAAAUUCACACAAAGAUGGGAAAAAUUUAACAACACACUUAAAAUCUUGACUCAACUUUCUAAUUAAAAGUAAGUUACAAUCUAAAUUUUGAACAUGAAGAAUAGGAGAGAGAACAACAUCCUUUAUUAAGUAUGUAGAUCCCAUUCUCAAAACCAUGAAAAGGGAACCAUCUGCAAUAUGAACAAAAGAGUUAUGCUUUUAAGAAUUGUAAUUAUAUAGGAGUGUUGCAUCUCUAAUCAUAUGAUCUGAUGCACCGGAAUCAACAAUCCAGGAUCCAUUAUAGUCCCUGCUAGUUGUAAGGGCAACAGAAGAAUUACCUCAUUGUGCCAUCACAUUUGUUGCUCUAGGUUAGCUGGUAGAUUGGAAGAGAUUGUGGCUGAUCAUUUUUUGCAGAAUUUCUAUUUAUACUUUGUUGAAUCCACUUGUUUAACUUGAUGUUUUUCCCUCAACGGAUGAAGAAACGCUAGCAUGACUUUUUUUUUUAAUCACAAUUUGGCUUGUUUGGCUUCUGAUCUGCUGGUCUUCCAUGGAUCUUCCAACAAGUCUCUAUCAAAUGUCCUGACUUAUGGCAAUGUUCACACUAGGGCCUUCCUCGUUGCUGUCGAUUGUCAUUGGUGCUGAGGUUGGUUCCUCGGAUUGCAAGUGCAGAACUAUCAAGCAGUGGAGUGUUCACUGCUGUAUCUUGCGAUCCCAUCAUUACUUUUUUUUUCUACACGUCGAACCUCAGAAAAUACUUUUCUAAUGCUUGAUAGUGGUUUGAUGCCCAUAAUACGUCCACUUACUUCAUCCAACUCCUUGUUGAGUCCCAAUAGGAAUUUGAAUAUUCUUUUUUACUCCACAAUUUCCCUGUAAUUAGCUGCAUCAUCUGUGCACUUCCAUGUGUCAGUAUCAAACAUAUCAAGUUGCUACCAAUGCCGUUUUAAGGUAUUGAAAUAUUGUAUGACAGAGAGACUCUCUUGGCGAAAAUCAUACAAGAUAGCCUCAAUCUAGAACAGUUCUACUGUAUUUUCAGAACUCGAGUAUCUCUUUUUGCUGCGUCCUAGAUUUCUUUUGCUGUGCCAUAGAGAAGAAAAUUUGCACCUAUAUCAUAUCAUUGUUCAUGAAAUUUAUCAACCAUGACAUUAUCAUAUUGUUGUUACUCAUCCACUGCCUAAAUUUUGAAUAUCCAUUCUUUGGGAUUUCAAUCUCACAAGUGGGAUAUUCAUCAUUACCUUUUUUGAAAAUAAACAUGAACAUGAGCUGAUACCA